AUUGAACGCUGGCGGCAGGCCUAACACAUGCAAGUCGAACGGAACAGGAAGACGCUUGCUUCUUUUCUGACGAGUGGCGGACGGGUGUGUCUUGUCUGGGAACCGGCCUGAUGGAGGGGGGUCACUACUGGAAACGGUAGCUAAUACCCCAUAACGUCGCGAGACCAAAGAGGGGGACCUUCGCGCGUCUUGACAUCAGCCUUGCCCAGAUGGGCUUGGCUAGUAGGUGGGGUAACGGCCUACCUAGGGGACGUUCCGUAACUGGUCUGAGAGGAUGACCAGUCACACUGGAACUGAGACACGGUCCAGAAUCCUAAGGGAGGCAGCAGUGGGGAAUAUUGGACAAUGGGCGAAAGCCUGAUCCAGCCAUGCCGGGUGGUUGAAGAAGGUCUUCGGAUUGUAAAGCACUUUAAGUUGGGAGGAAGGGGAGUAAGUUAAUACCUUGCUGUUUUGACGUUACCCACAGAAAAAGCACCGGCUAACUUCGUG
rnacentral:rRNA from 1 species